rnacentral:rRNA from 1 species
UACGUAGGGGGCAAGCGUUGUCCGGAAUCAUUGGGCGUAAAGAGCGUGUAGGCGGCCAGAUAAGUCCGCUGUGAAAUCUCGAGGCUCAACUUCGAGCUGUCGGUGGAAACUGUCUGGCUAGAGUCCGGAAGAGGAGAAUGGAAUUCCUGGUGUAGCGGUGAAAUGCGCAGAUAUCAGGAAGAACACCCGUGGCGAAGGCGCUCUGCUAGGCCGUAACUGACACUGAGGGACGAAAGCUAGGGAGCGAAUGGG